rnacentral:lncRNA from 1 species
CACACAUUCCGUGGUUACCUGGCAAGGAUGGAGUCUUCAGAGAGUGAACCAUUCGGCAGGUGAAAUUCAUGAGGGAAAAGGAAGGAAAGGACUGGAACAUGUGCCCCUUGAGACCAAGAGGGCGGGUGUUCCCGGAAAGCAGACGGGAAAUCCAUCCUUGUUCUUCUUCCACCAUCCAGCCAUCCUCUCCUGCACCGCAACGCAGGGCUGGUGCACAGUGUCCGCUACCUUGUGGCCGUGCCCGACCCUGAGAGCUCCUCCGGGAGACAGGCCUCCACGAGCUCCUUUUAUCCCCCUGUGCUAACUUCAACCACCAGGAGCCUUGUAGAGAACAGGCUUGUUGCUGUGUGAUGAAGUGGAGAAGGAGCGGUUCCUGUCAUCCUAUAUUUUCAGAAAGGGUGUAGCACAAACACAAGAGGAACAGCAUGGGGAGAAUUGUAGUGGCAUUCGGAGGAAAGGACCACGUCCACAGACUCCUUUCCUGACCAUCACAGAGUUAUCAACAACUACAGCCUCAUCGUAUCUUGCCAGCCCCUCAGAACCAGAGAAUCCUAUUUGUCUCAACCACAAAUAUUUUCCAGUUCAACCUACAUUCCGUACAAGACCAAACGCCAAACUGACGUGGCUGAAUGAAAAUGAUCCAUUGAAGAGGAAGGAUGGCGUCAUCUUGCUGACCUCGGAACUGAACAUGGCGCUUCGCUUGGGGACUACACUGCCUCUAAGUUUCCUAUUGAAUUAUGCAAACACUUUCCAUCUUCUGAGAAGAGGAAUGUUUUAAAUUCACCUGCAAAAAGUAAAAUAAAACAAAACAGUAUUUUU